rnacentral:misc_RNA from 1 species
UUCAUGGGUAGUUGCCAAAUCUUGAAUUUUUUUGGAUAGCUGUUGAAGUUUAUGAAGUUACCGGGUUCUCUGCUGGGAAGGAGCCCAAUAUUGCAGCAAACCUGAAUGAAAGUCACUGAUCAUUAGAGAUUUUGUGGAUAUUUCUGAUUCCUUAUGAUUUUACUGAGAAAAUAGGGGUAAUAAUGUAAAUUUUUUUAUUUUAAAAAUGUUUGGCACAUCAACAUAUUUACCGGAAAACUGCCUAUCAAAGGUAAGUAGGACUUUAUGGUUACAAAAAUUAAUGUUUGGGAGAUUUUAUAAUAUAAAUUAAAGUUUAGGGAUGAUAUUGUUAUAAAAUUAUAAGUUCAGGGACAAUGUGUAAAAAUUAUUUAUUAGACUUGUGCUAGGUUGAAAUAAUAUCAUAGUUAGACAUUCAGAUUAUUGUCUUUUCUUAAGCAAGGGCUUAGUUGUAUGUGUUUA